AUUGAACGCUGGCGGCAGGCCUAACACAUGCAAGUCGAGCGGAUGAAGGGAGCUUGCUCCUGGAUUCAGCGGCGGACGGGUGAGUAAUGCCUAGGAAUCUGCCUGGUAGUGGGGGAUAACGUCCGGAAACGGGCGCUAAUACCGCAUACGUCCUGAGGGAGAAAGUGGGGGAUCUUCGGACCUCACGCUAUCAGAUGAGCCUAGGUCGGAUUAGCUAGUUGGUGGGGUAAAGGCCUACCAAGGCGACGAUCCGUAACUGGUCUGAGAGGAUGAUCAGUCACACUAGAACUGAGACACGGUCCAGACUCCUAAGGGAGGCAGCAGUGGGGAAUAUUGGACAAUGGGCGAAAGCCUGAUCCAGACAUGCCGCGUGUGUGAAGAAGGUCUUCGGAUUGUAAAGCACUUUAAGUUGGGAGGAAGGGCAGUAAGUUAAUACCUUGCUGUUUUGACGUUACCAACAGAAUAAGCACCGGCUAACUUCGUG
rnacentral:rRNA from 1 species